rnacentral:rRNA from 1 species
UACGAAGGGGGCUAGCGUUGCUCGGAAUCACUGGGCGUAAAGCGCACGUAGGCGGUUCUUUAAGUCAGGGGUGAAAUCCUGGAGCUCAACUCCAGAACUGCCUUUGAUACUGAGGAUCUCGAGUCCGGGAGAGGUGAGUGGAACUCCGAGUGUAGAGGUGAAAUUCGUAGAUAUUCGGAAGAACACCAGUGGCGAAGGCGGCUCACUGGCCCGGUACUGACGCUGAGGUGCGAAAGCGUGGGGAGCAAACAGG